rnacentral:rRNA from 1 species
AAUAGAUACCCUGGUAGUCCACGCCGUAAACGAUGGAUACUAGCUGUUGGAGGUAUCGACCCCUUCAGUAGCGAAGCUAACGCGUUAAGUAUCCCGCCUGUGGAGUACGGUCGCAAGACUAAAACAUAAAGGAAUUGACGGGGACCCGCACAAGCGGUGGAUCAUGUUCUUUAAUUCGAUGCUAAACGAAGAACCUUACCAGGGCUUGACAUCCCGAGAAUUUCUCCGAAAGGAGAGAGUGCUUUUAGAACUCGGUGACAGAUGUUGCAUGGCCGUCGUCAGCUCGUGUCGUGAGAUGUUUGGUUAAGUCCAUCAACGAGCGCAACCCUUGUGAAUAGUUGUAUUUUUCUAUUCAGACUGCCCCGGCAACGGGGGAGGAAGGAGGGGAUGAUGUCAGGUCAGUAUUACUCUUACGUCCUGGGCUAGAAACGUGAUACAAUGGCAGGUACAAUGCGCAGCGAAGCCGCGAGGUGAAGCAAAUCGCACCAAAGCCUGUCCCAGUUCGGAUUGGAGGCUAGAACUCGCCUCCAUGA